UCGGUCUGUCAGGAGUCUGUAUGUGAACACCCCGAGUAAAGUCACAGAGGGGAGGCGAAGGGACUGGUGCGUGUUGGCAGCCUGCUGAGUGUCACGGUUUGGCGGGUGGUUCGGUGGCCGCAGCGCCCCGCGAGAAAACAGCUCCUCGCCGCGCCCUCCCUGCCGAGUUCCUUGCGACAGAAACACUGUGUGGAUGCUGGGGCGCGGCGGCAAAACGCCUCAUUUAGGAUGUUGCCAGUGCCAGGGACACUCGGAGAGAGGAGCUUUUCCAGCACUUUUAUCGAGUGGUUCAGAAAGAGCCGGAUUGAGUGAGGCCUUCAGAUUGCAUUAUUAUUUCUAUCGACAAAGAGCAGAGAGGGAAAACAUCUGGACAGGGACGAGCUGAGCCUGCUCAUUGACUACCUGAACACCAGGAAGGGACAGCUGGAAGGCUUGGAUGCUGGACCCUUUAGCCAGCAGUGAGCAUUCCUCACUUCAAGGCAGGAUCAACCCUGUCGUGCGCAAGCUGCCUCCUCUGCUUCCACCCACUGGCAAGAGGCUCUUCUUAGGUGCUUCUGUCCCUGUUCCUGGCAAGUCCCCUCUGGCAACAGGCCAGGAGGAGGUCUCCUUCCGCUGCCAGCAGACCCCUCCAAGAGGCUGACUUCUUUGGAAUGGCCCCUCCCAUACCUGCCAAGCAUCUACUUCUGGGAGAGAAGCCAGGCCUUUUAGCACCACCAUCAGUCAGACGUGCUUCUGAGAGAUGUGCGUUGCUGUGGCUGUGGAUAAAGAAGGACAUUUGCAAAGGGCAGCACGACGCGGAGCAAAGGCCAGCGACUCUCGGCCCCGGGACCCAGAUAGUCUGUUUCUGAAGAGGCUCAUCUGACAGACGGGAGUGAAAUAACCACCUUUGGGGAAAUUCGAAGAACUUUCCUUACCCGUAAGAUGGGCCUCCCUGGUUUCUGAAGACCCUCUUAGCCCCCAAAUUCUAGGACUAAUACUUGGAAGAAACUUUUUUAAAAAAAUUAAAGAGGAAACAAGAAGCAUUCCUGUGCAAGGUGCACCAAUAACAGCAUGUGUUAAGUUCUCAUUAUGGGCCAGGCAUUGAGACUGUUUCAGUUAGUCCUUGUAACAGCCCUGCGAGCUAGGUACUGCCAGGACCUCCACGGUCCCGGUGAAUCACUAAGGCAUGGAGAGUAUGAACCUGCCCAAGGUCACACAGUAGUGCCUAGUGGAGCCGAGACUGGACACUGGCCGUGUGACCCCACAGCCUGUGCUCUUAACCGCCACACAGUCUCAGUGGCACAUAAAUGUUACCAAGUUGAUGUUGCUUUCAAAAAACACUUAGAUUUUUGCUUGGAUUUCAACCAUGUCCUCUCAUCCACAGCUUGCCUUUGACCAAAGGUCAAAAACAUUUUCACAUCACUCAGCUGUUCUGAUUUGUUGCAGUGUUAAGGGCUGUGGAAGUCCAGCAGGAAGGAGGGAGUGCAGUUAGUGCGGGUCUGGGCGAAGUUGCAGAAGCCUAAUGGAAGAGCCUUGGAGGAAGCCAAGUAUUUGGGUACCUGGAGGGAAGAGGCACCGUGAUUUCCUGCUUUUAUAGAAGAACUAUCUCAAGUAACAAGUGUUUAAGACUCAUUGAAGUGUGGGUGAGGUAGAUGUCCCAUGUUCCUCCUCUGUAAAAUAAGGGCUGCCACCAGGAUUAAAUGAGAUAAUACAAAUGAAAAUCUUUUACACUCCCCAAGAAUUGCGGAGAAAUCUGUCUGCUGGUGCAGCAACGCGGCUAACCCAACCCUGCAUGCCAGGGCUGGUUGGUGUGGCCAGGGGACGUAGGUCAAGCCCGGCGCUUGGAUAUGAAUUAACACUGCCAUGUUCCUCCUCUCAGCAGUUCUUUUGUGGUCGGUGCCACAUAAGUGGGCAGCUCAACCCGAGUCUCUGCUGAACUAAACUCUGCUGAGCCUAGAGAACAAGGUGCCUGCUGCUCAGAUGGUGACUUCCCCUCCUCCAAGGACCAUGGCUCCUCCCUGGCCUGCAGCACUGAUGUCCAGGCCAUGGGUACAGAUGUGGCUCCCUUCUGUCUGAUACACAAUCCCAUGGAAACCUUUACACCUUUGGAGUCUGUGCCAAACCAGACAUUUGUGGAAAGUCAUUAUUGUGGACAUUGGACCUUGAAGUUGUUCAGUUAUAGGCAUAUUUUUUUUUUUUU